AACUCCAACGUCAAGUCCGCGGGCGUCGCCCAGAUCGACGGCCGCCCGGUGCUGCAGCCGGCGGGCAACCGCGUGGCGCCGCCGGAGGGGGCGCGCCCGCUCAAGAAGUCCCUGCACAAGUCGCUCUCCAUGCCGGCCUCCUUCGACAACAAUGCCGCCGCGGCGGCCGCGCGACCCGCGCCCGAGAACACCCGCGCCGCCGCGGCGGCUUCCCUGCUGCCGCCUGCGACGCCGGCCUCGGUCACCGCGAGGGCGACGAAGGCGGCGGCCGUGGCCGCGGAGAAGAGCAGGGUCAAGGCCAGGAAGCCCGGCGCGGUGCUGCCGGUGGUGACGUUCGCAGCGCUGGAGGCGUUCGAGCCCGCGGGGAGCAUCGCGGCGGCGCAGCGGGAGCACGCCGCGCAGGCGCAGGCGCAGCGCAAGAUGCG
rnacentral:lncRNA from 1 species